ensembl:snRNA U6 U6 spliceosomal RNA
GUGCUCAAUUCCAGCGGCACAUAUACCAAAGUUAGGAUAAUAUGGAGAGAUGAGCGUGGUCCCUGCGUAAGAAUAAUAGGCAAAUCUGUGAAGCAUCCCACAUUUUU